CCCGAUGGCAUAACAUGACCUCCUGGUUUUGUUAUUAAAGAAUUUCGGUAGAGGAUGGGGAUGCGUUCCAUUAGGCAGUUGGCGGGGUAACGGCCCACCAAACCUUCGAUGGAUAGGGGUUCUGAGAGGAAGGUCCCCCACAUUGGAACUGAGACACGGUCCAAACUCCUACGGGAGGCAGCAGUGAGGAAUAUUGGUCAAUGGGCGAGAGCCUGAACCAGCCAAGUAGCGUGAAGGAUGACCGCCCUAUGGGUUGUAAACUUCUUUUAUAUGGGAAUAAAGUCUGCCACGUGUGGCAUUUUGUAUGUACCAUAUGAAUAAGGAUCGGCUAACUCCGUGCCAGCAGCCGCGGUAAUACGGAGGAUCCGAGCGUUAUCCGGAUUUAUUGGGUUUAAAGGGAGCGUAGGUGGACAUGUAAGUCAGUUGUGAAAGUUUGCGGCUCAACCGUAAAAUUGCAGUUGAUACUGCGUGUCUUUGAGUACAGUAGAGGUGGGCGGAAUUCGUGGUGUAGCGGUGAAAUGCUUAGAUAUCACGAAGAACUCCGAUUGCGAAGGCAGCUCACUGGACUGCAACUGACACUGAUGCUCGAAAGUGUGGGUAUCAAACAGGAUUA
rnacentral:rRNA from 1 species